rnacentral:rRNA from 1 species
UACGUAGGGGGCAAGCGUUGUCCGGAAUUAUUGGGCGUAAAGCGCGCGCAGGCGGUCGUUUAAGUCUGGUGUUUAAUCCCAGGGCUCAACCCUGGUUCGCACUGGAAACUGGGCGACUCGAGUGCAGAAGAGGAGAGUGGAAUUCCACGUGUAGCGGUGAAAUGCGUAGAGAUGUGGAGGAACACCAGUGGCGAAGGCGACUCUCUGGUCUGUAACUGACGCUGAGGAGCGAAAGCGUGGGGAGCGAACAGG